AUUGAACGCUGGCGGCAGGCCUAACACAUGCAAGUCGAGCGGCGCGGCGGACGGGUGAGGAAUGCCUAGGAAUCUGCAUGGUAGUGGGGGAUAACGUCCGGAAACGGGAGCGAAUACCGCCACCUAUUAGCUGAGCCUAGGUCGGAAUAGCUAGUUGGUGGGGUAAAGGCCUACCCAGGCGACGAUCCGUAACUGGUCUGAGAGGAUGAUCAGUCACACUGGAACUGAGACACGGUCCAGACUCCUACGGGAGGCAGCAGUGGGGAAUAUUGGACAAUGGGCGAAAGCCUGAUCCAGCCAUGCCGCGUGUGUGAAGAAGGUCUUCGGAUUGUAAAGCACUUUAAGUUGGGAGGCGUUACCAACAGAAUAAGCACCGGCUAACUUCGUGCCAGCAGCCGCGGUAAUUC
rnacentral:rRNA from 1 species